GAACGCUCUUCUCCUCUACCAGAGGUGUGAUGCUGCAACCGCGCUCACCCUCACCCGUCUACCGCCGCACCGCUCACUAAUGCCUACCCAAUUGCCCUGAUGUGGGGGAUAACCAUUGGAAACGAUGGCUAAUACCGCAUGAUGCCUACGGGCCAAAGAGGGGGACCUUCGGGCCUCUCGCGUCAGGAUAUGCCUAGGUGGGAUUAGCUAGUUGGUGAGGUAAGGGCUCACCAAGGCGACGAUCCCUAGCUGGUCUGAGAGGAUGAUCAGCCACACUGGAACUGAGACACGGUCCAGACUCCUACGGGAGGCAGCAGUGGGGAAUAUUGCACAAUGGGCGCAAGCCUGAUGCAGCCAUGCCGCGUGUGUGAAGAAGGCUUUCGGGUUGUAAAGCACUUUCAGUCGUGAGGAAGGUAGUGUAGUUAAUAGCUGCAUUAUUUGACGUUAGCGACAGAAGAAGCACCGGCUAACUCCGUGCCAGCAGCCGCGGUAAUACGGAGGGUGCGAGCGUUAAUCGGAAUUACUGGGCGUAAAGCGCAUGCAGGUGGUUUGUUAAGUCAGAUGUGAAAGCCCGGGGCUCAACCUCGGAAUAGCAUUUGAAACUGGCAGACUAGAGUACUGUAGAGGGGGGUAGAAUUUCAGGUGUAGCGGUGAAAUGCGUAGAGAUCUGAAGGAAUACGGGUGGCGAAGGCGGCCCCCUGGACAGAUACUGACACUCAGAUGCGAAAGCGUGGGGAGCAAACAGGAUUAGAUACCCUGGUAGUCCACGCCGUAAACGAUGUCUACUUGGAGGUUGUGGCCUUGAGCCGUGGCUUUCGGAGCUAACGCGUUAAGUAGACCGCCUGGGGAGUACGGUCGCAAGAUUAAAACUCAAAUGAAUUGACGGGGGCCCGCACAAGCGGUGGAGCAUGUGGUUUAAUUCGAUGCAACGCGAAGAACCUUACCUACUCUUGACAUCCAGAGAACUUUCCAGAGAUGGAUUGGUGCCUUCGGGAACUCUGAGACAGGUGCUGCAUGGCUGUCGUCAGCUCGUGUUGUGAAAUGUUGGGUUAAGUCCCGCAACGAGCGCAACCCUUAUCCUUGUUUGCCAGCGAGUAAUGUCGGGAACUCCAGGGAGACUGCCGGUGAUAAA
rnacentral:rRNA from 1 species